rnacentral:lncRNA from 1 species
GGGACACGUUCUCUUGCAUGCUCACCAUCUUCAUCAGCAGGUCUGGCUGGGAGGGAUACCUGCAGCUCUUCCUAUCAGAUUCUCUCAGUUCAGUUGUACUGUUAGUGAGAUCAGAGGAGAAGUUUCAACAUCUUUCUCCAGUCUGGGACACAUAUGUUUGGGCCUCUUUCCCAUCUACGCUGGAAGUAAAUAUCUGGCCACAGAAGCUGAAGAACCACUAAGUAAGGAGGCUGCAGGCACAGUACACAGAAAUCAGCACCACCAUGCUUACUAUCCAAAAUGCAGGGGUAGAUAUUGCUUCCUUGUCUUGCAGAGACCCUAAAGGAUACUGAUUAAUAGCCACACCUGCGUACAGUCUGUCACUCAGAUCAGUGCAGCUAUGCACAUACUGCCUGUGGGGCCAGAAGCAUUGUAAGCCAGGUCCCCUCCCUUGCUCUCCCUCAUCUCCUGCACACCCCAUCCUGGAGCUCACAGAAGCUUGGCACCAGGCUGAGAUCCAGUAUGAAGGCACAGAAGACAGCCAGGGAUCUCAAGCUGCAAUACCAGCCCAAGUCUACAGCUAAUAUGAAAACAGCUGCAGCAAGCAAAGCCUGGAAUUCAGGCUUUCUUACACUGCAUUCAUCCAGAGUUAGUGCAAAAUGAUUCAUCUGUUCUUUUAUCUCUUCUUGUAAGAAACAUGUAAGACUGAUGUAUAGUUCACAGCCUAAGAACUAAAGAUAAAAU